rnacentral:rRNA from 1 species
UACGUAGGGGCCAAGCGUUGUCCGGAUUUAUUGGGCGUAAAGAGCUCGUAGGCGGUUUGUCGCGUCUGCUGUGAAAACGCGAGGCUCAACCUCGCGCCUGCAGUGGGUACGGGCAGACUAGAGUGCGGUAGGGGAGAUUGGAAUUCCUGGUGUAGCGGUGGAAUGCGCAGAUAUCAGGAGGAACACCGAUGGCGAAGGCAGAUCUCUGGGCCGUAACUGACGCUGAGGAGCGAAAGCGUGGGGAGCGAACAGG